CCCAGGGACUCUGCCAAUCUGCCCUGGAGGAAAAUUUCUUCCCGAGUCCAAAUAAGGUGAUCAGCUAAACCCUGAGCAUGUGGACAAGACUCACCUCAACCCAAUAAGAGCACGCAGGCCUGGGCAGCGCAGGUCUGUAACAGGGAAAGGAGAGUGCUUUCCCCUGGGCUGCAGAGCCUAGGGCUUAGCCAAACUGAUUGCAGAAUGAGUCUUACCUCAGAGGGACCAUGUAUUGGCCCCGAAAGAACCAGACUUCAGCGGCGAUAAAGCCCAGCUGGGCUAUGCACUGGAACGAGAACCAGGUAGGAAGUUGAAAGCAGCAAGGAAAGCCUAGAAGGGAACUGGAGAAGAGAGGUAGGAUGCGCCCAGGGAAACUUGCAGCAAAGAGAAAAGAGCAGACCUAGCUGUUGAGUACAGAGCCCUGGGCUGCUACCUGUGUCAGGGUGGGACCGGGUUCCUCUACUGGCCCAAAAGAAGGGGGCAUGCACGCACCCAGAGAGGGUUACCAAGCCCAGCAAGGGAGCUGCAGGCUGAGCCAGAGCCCCAGCGAGAGCAGAAGAACGUUUUUCUCUGGGAAGACCUCUUUGGACUUUUAGUGUGUGACAAGCUGAGCCCCCAAAGCACUAGGUGGUGAGCCGGCCAGAGGGCCAAAUUACCAGGCAGAGAGACUGCCAUGGUGCUGGAGUGACCAUCGAUGGAGGACCAGAGGGCACCUAACAAUGAGAAAAUUCAUUUAUUAUUGGCAUAGUCAGCAGCACUGAAUUCCCCCUGUCAUCCAUGAGGGCUCAUGGAAGUCUUGGUUACUGAAGGAAGGUCCAUCCCCCGAAGUGGGAUUUCCAAUUUGAGUUCCAGGGACUGGGUAAGCAGCCAAGGCAGCAGCUCCUAGAAACCCAACAGAAGCAGAAGGAAGUGCAAGCAGAGCUACAGAGGCAGCUGGUAAUCUUUAGGGAGCAGCAGCAAUACCUGUGAGAGAUCCUGCAAAGGGAAAUCAACCUGUCUUGGUUACUGAAGGAAGGUCCAAAGUGGGAUUUCCCAUUUGAGUUCCAGGGACUGGUUAAGCAGCCAAGGCAGCGCUCAGGAUUUCUCCAGCAGCUCCUAGAAACCCAACAGAAGCAGAAGGAAGUGCAAGCAGAGCUACAGAUGCAGCUGGUAAUCUUGAGGGAGCAGAGAUCCUGCAAAGGGAAAUCAACCUGCUACGCCCAUGGACAAAAAGAGCUGCCUCAGAGAGCAUGCCGGGGCUGUGCUGAGAGGGUUAGCCCAGGAGAGCAGGGCAUGAGAAAGUGUACAAGCAUAGCCUAAUGCCAACCUGGGAACAAAAGUUCUUUGGUUUGGGUGCAGAGAAGCAGGCCAUAUGGAAAGACCCGUCCUGCAUAGGAAAGUCCUGAGUGGCAAAAGGAGGGGCCAGAGCCUCAAGAAGGUAUAAAGAAAGGAGAAGGUGUCCUCUUAAACAAACACACCUGAGGCAGGCUAGGUGGAGAUGUCAGGGAUGGCCGUGGACCUUGCAGACCCUCCUCCAACAUACCCUGUUGGGUGCUGCAGGGAGGUGAAGGAUGAAAUGGUUGGCACAGAGAUGAAUCAGGCACAAGAGUUGAGCAGUGGUGUGUGCUGAGACCCUGAUGGAAAAGGUUUUGGGGGAUGCAGCGGCAGUAGAAAAAAGGCUACGGAAGAAGCUGGUGGCUUCAGAACAAGGCUCUGCAAGCAGUUGUUUAUGAGAAUGAGUGGCUGCAGGAAGAGCACUGGGAUACUGCAGAAGAGAAGGAUGGCCUCUGAGUUCUGGUGAGCGAGGUGGCAGGGGAGCUGGAGUCGCCGCUCGCCCAGGCUGUACGAGUGCAUAGCUGGUGCCAGCGACGUGAUGGUGAGGGAUGAAGAUUGGACAAGAGUAGAACUUGGCCCUGGGUUGGGCCGGAUUUUAAGAAGGAGGGUAUAUAACUGGGUGGCUUGGCCUGUGGCUGCAAAGCCUGGAGCUAGGCCAGAUUGAUGACCAAGUGAGCCCCACCUGAGAGGAAACAAGGGAAAACAGCAGCAAAAGUGCAGAAGCAGACCUAGCUGUUCAAUAUACGGCCUUGGCCAAAACCUGGAGUCCAGGGUAGGACUGGGUUCUCCCACCGUCCCUAAGGAAGGGGACAUAGAAGACCAUAGAAACCCAAGAAGGGCAGACCAAGCUGAAAUCAGGCUGAGGACGAGCUCCCCACGAGGGUGGAAGGCCUUGUUUCUGUUCAAGACAUUUUUGGACUUUGUUUGGAAGGAGCUUGACCCAGGAAGGAGUGGACUAAAGGACAGUCACCUGGUUGGAGGGCUGAGUUCCCAAGAGUGACUAUCAACGGGGUUACUAGCCCAGCUAGAAAGCAGUGACACGAGGCCUGGCCAGGAACUAGCGUCUCUGUCCCAGCCUCUUCCACAGACGUAUGCUGCAGCCAGCCCAGCUCAGACCGCAGUGGGGAGAGAUGAUCUCAUCCUGUCAAACCAAGCAACAUGGGUCCCAUUGAGGCUUAGAUGGAAGAUCCCACACAUCUCCUGGAGAGGAUGUGUCCGGGAUCCUGGAGACUGUUUCCUGCAGGAGGUUUGAGCGGGGAGAGAUCACUCAGAGUCAUGACCCAUGGGUCAUUAACCCGGGUCUGCAGGGUUCACGGGAGCAGCCACACUCCAGCAGGCCACCUGGAAGCCUACUAAAAACUGCUUACCUAGGACUUACGAAGUCCAGACCCAGUUUGAGGCGCCAUCCCUGAGGCCUAUUGGCCGGGUCCCAGAGCAGCUAAUCGGCCCCCGGGACCUCCUUAAACCAACAGCAGGAACAAGAAUCUGUCUGAACACCCGAGCUCCCCCGUCUUCUGGACCAUGUGUUAGCUGUUCCUGCUCCCACUCCCCAGGCUUGAUUUCCUGGCAUCCUGACUCGCUGUAACUCAUCUGAGUUGAGGUUCUGAACACAGUUUGGUCUUUUGCUUCUGCUUCUCCAGUAUCCUGACCCAGCUGACUCUCAACUCCUGUCUUCUGAGAGUGGACUCUGCCUCUGACCACUAGGUCUGGCUGCCCAUGACCCUGCCAUGACACUGACUUUUCUACAAUUCCUCCAGUGCCCUUUUCUGCUCUCCAGCUCUGCUCUCCCAGCAAGACACACCAAUCAUAGGCGGCAGGCCAUGGAGAAUUCCUGCUGCCUGAGAAACUUCCCAGAAGAAGCUACCAGGACUGGGGGA